rnacentral:rRNA from 1 species
CAGCAGUGGGGAAUUUUGCGCAAUGGGGGAAACCCUGACGCAGCAACGCCGCGUGGAGGAUGAAGUAUUUCGGUACGUAAACUCCUUUCGAUUGGGACAAUAAUGACGAUACCAAUAGAAGAAGCCCCGGCUAACUUCGUU